rnacentral:lncRNA from 1 species
AGUCACUGGGAACAUGCCUUUGGAGGGUAUAUCUCCUCUCUGGCUCUUUCACUUCUUUUCUGCUACCUGGAUGACAGGAAGUGAGCAACUUUCCAUGCCCUUCCACCAUGAUGUUUCUGCCUUGGAGCCAGCUAACCAUGGACUCAAACCUCUGAAACCAUGAGUCAAAAUAAACCUCUCCUCCUUUAAAUUGUUUUCUCAGGUAUUUGGUCAUAGGGACAAAAAGCUAAUAUAUUAAGCAAGGACCUUCAGGUAGAGAGGUUGUCCAGAAUUAUCGGGGUGGACCCAGUAUCAUCACAUGGGAUUUAGAAGCAAGACCUUUUCCAGCGGUAGACAGAGUGAGAUGCAACUGGAGAAGAGAGGCAGAGAGACUCGGUGUUGCUGACUUUGACGAUGGAGCCAGGAGGCCGUAAUCUGAGGGGCAGGGGCAGCCACUAGAAGCUGAGAAGGCCAGGAAACAGACUCUCCACUAAGGUUUACCAGAAGGGACAGCAGCCCUACCAUCACCUUGGCUGGGGCUCAGCGAGAUCCAAGUCGGACUUCUGACCUGUGGAACUGCAAGGAUUUUGCACACAGAACAGCCCAUAUGUGAUGCUCUAUGUAUAGAACACCAGGCGCAGCUGAUUCCAAAAUCAUCCUUAAUGCUUCUCACAUACGUCUUAUGAGGGCAUCGGAUCUGAAAGUGUCCCAAAUGCUUCUGCUGCCGAGCUUUCUAGUACUUGGACAUCGCUGGACAGCAGAGGAGAAUUGGUGCCCCAUAAUUUGAUGAUAAAACAUCUGGGCGCUGCCGAGAAUGCAAAGUCUUGGCAGCAGGGCACUGUGUGCAUCUUACCUCCUCGGUGACCCCACCACCCAGCACAUCAGAGACACUGCUAAAUAUUUUGAAAUUAACCCAGAUGUUCCCCACGAGGAAGAAGAGAGGAUUCAUGAGAAGGGAGGGUCAGGUCCCCCACGUCCCUAUGAGCCCACAACAAUCCUUCGGCUGAUCGCCCCUGGCAAGGUAUAGAUGAAGAGGACCAGGAAGAUGAUGAGGAUGAUGAGGAUGAAGCCGAUGAUGAUGUACUUCUUGAAAUUCCUCCAGAUGAGAUGGUAUAGGCACUUGAAGGGGUUCAUGAACCAGGAGAAGGAGGUGUCUGGGCGGCUGAGGGGGGAAGGCAGAGAACAUCAGGCAGGGGAGCAAUCAUGUUGGCAACACUCAGGAUCCUCCAGCCUAAGGAAGCAUUUCUGCCUCCCACUUUCUGGGGACCCACAGGGAGACCCCUGGGAAGGGCAGAAGAAGACUGCUGCCUGCAGCAGGAGCAACCUGACAUGAGGCUGGUCUGGAGUAGAGCCUGAGUCGAGUCAGAACCCAGCGAGAGGCCCCACCGCCCUCCUUCCAUCCAGGCAUGACCAGCUCCAGCCCUGCCUUCCUGGAGCCUGUCCUGCCCACCCCAGUCCCUGAGGAGCCCACUCUGAACCCUCAUCUCCCCCGUCCCUUGGUGGUCUUCUUUCUGAGCCUGUUUGUCUUCUACACUCUGAUAUCUACUCUGCAUUAUUUCUCCCUAAAGAAGCUGAAAGCUCCUGGAAAGCAUAGCUUAUGCCUUACAUUUCUUCUGUGUUCUCCAAAAUGUUCUAGUAGGUGCUGCAUGGAUAACUGUGAGCUAGCGAGUAACACAGCACCUGUUAUGUCCCUAAACAUUACAAAAGAUGAAGG